rnacentral:rRNA from 1 species
CGCGUAGGCGGCUUGUACAGUCAGACGUGAAAUUCCUGGGCUCAACCUGGGGGCUGCGUUUGAUACGUGCGGGCUUGAGUUCGGAAGAGGGUCGUGGAAUUCCCAGUGUAGAGGUGAAAUUCGUAGAUAUUGGGAAGAACACCGGUGGCGAAGGCGGCGACCUGGUCCGAUACUGACGCUGAGGCGCGAAAGCGUGGGGAGCAAACAGGAUUAGAUACCCUGGUAGUCCACGCCGUAAACGAUGUGCGCUGGAUGUUGGGUGACAUAGUCAUUCAGUGUCGUAGCUAACGCGAUAAGCGCACCGCCUGGGGAUACGGCCGCAAGAUUGAA